rnacentral:rRNA from 1 species
AUGAAAAAUACAAGGAGCCAUGGCUUGGUUGCCUUGGCAAUGGGAGUGAGCUUCCUCCUCCCCGCCGUCAUCUCGCAGAGCGACAGAGAGGAGAACCAGACCGUGCAGGUGAGCCAUCUCCCUGGCUUCCAUGGCCCCCUUCCCUUCUCCCUGGAAACAGGGUAUGUGCAAGUGGACGACAGCAAUGGCGUCCGCCUCUUCUACUACUUCGUUCGGUCGGAGACGAACCCGGCGGAGGACCCCGUCUUGCUCUGGCUCACCGGCGGCCCGGGGUGCUCCGCCUUCUCCGGCCUUGUCUACGAGAUCGGCCCUCUCAGCUUUCAGCCUGAUUCCUACACCGGUGGUCUGCCAGAGCUGGUGUACAAACCGGAUUCUUGGACCAAGGUUGCCAAUGUGAUCUUUCUGGAUUCCCCCGUUGGAGCUGGCUUUUCAUACUCUACAACGCACCAAGGGUACAAGUCAUGCGACACCAAAGCCGUUGACCAAAUUGUCAUCUUCCUUACCAAGUGGUAUGAGGAGCAUCCACAGUUCUUACCGAAUCCACUUUUCAUUGCCGGAGAUUCGUAUUCUGGCUUAAUUGUGCCACCACUAACCUUUCAAAUUGCUAAGGGUAUAGAAAUGGGUGACAAGCCACUUCUUAAUCUGAAGGGUUACAUCAUAGGCAACCCGUUAACGGAUCGUAAGUUCGAUUUGCCAGCCGGAGUCCCAUAUGCCCAUAGGAUGGGUCUCAUAUCUGACGAACAAUAUGAGAUAUACAGGGAAACUUGCGCUGCAGACACCGGUAUGAACCGAAACAUACAAUGUAAAAAUUGCCAUGAUGCGAUAGAUAAGUGCUUGAAGGGCAUAAACAUACAUCACAUCCUAGAACCCAAAUGCUCUUCUGAAUACAAUGGAAAUUCAGAUAGUGGAAGGACGCUGUCGGGCUAUGGCAAUGCAGAACUUGGCUUGUCUGAUAUUUCUUCGGAGUGCAGAGAGAAAGGAUAUAGCAUGUCCGGCAUCUGGGCAAACAACAGGGCAGUGAGAGAGGCUCUGGGUGUUCACAUGGGAACGGUUCCUUUGUGGCUGAGGUGCAACCACGGCAUUGCCAUACACCAUUGA